CCCGCGUAAUUUAAGCAUAUUAUUAAGCGGAGGAAAAGAAACUAACAAGGAUUCCCUUAGUAGCUGCGAGCGAACAGGGAAAAGCUCAGCAUUAAAUCUUGUAACUUGACAGUUAUCAAGAGAUGUAAUGUUUAGGAAAAUUCGUUUAUCCUAAAAUGUACACUUAGUCCAAGUCCACCUUGAAUGGGGCAUAUCCCGUAGAGGGUGCCAGUCCCGUAGUGGCAAGUGUCUAUAAAUCAUUUUAGGUGAAUUUUUCCUUAGAGUCGGGUUGCUUGUAAAUGCAGCUCUAAGUGGGUGGUAAACUCCAUCUAAAGCUAAAUAUAACCACGAGACCGAUAGCGAACAAGUACCAUGAGGGAAAGUUGAAAAGAACUUUGAAGAGAGAGUUCAAGAGUACGUGAAACCGUUCAGGGGUAAACGGGAGAAAUCCGAAUAUCUGAAGGAAGUGAUUCACGUAAAAUCUACAUUGUACUACAUUUUUUGAUCGAUGAUUAUUAAACUCCUUGCUUGCAACUUGUUGUAUAGUAAGGAUCCAGUUUAGUGUCACGUUUCAUAAAUGUAUAUGUUUAUAAUGUGGUUUACCGCAUUUCUACCUUCCAUAAUAUAUAUUAAAGACGUCGCGACCC
rnacentral:rRNA from 1 species